GCGUGAGUGAUGAAGGCCCUAGGGUUGUAAAGCUCUUUCAGCAGGGAAGAUGAUGACGGUACCUGCAGAAGAAGCCCCGGCUAACUCCGUGCCAGCAGCCGCGGUAAUACGGAGGGGGCUAGCGUUGCUCGGAAUUACUGGGCGUAAAGAGCACGUAGGCGGAUAGUCAAGUCAGGCGUGAAAGCCCCGGGCUCAACCCGGGAACUGCGCUUGAUACUGAUUGUCUUGAGUCCGAGAGAGGGUGGUGGAAUUCCCAGUGUAGAGGUGAAAUUCGU
rnacentral:rRNA from 1 species